AGUGGCGCACGGGUGAGUAAUACAUAGGAACGUACCUUUCGGUGGGGGAUAACCACGGGAAACUGUGGCUAAUACCGCAUAAUGACGCAAGUCUAAGGCAGGCCUCUACUUAUAAGCUUGUGCCGGAAGAAUGGCCUAUGUCCCAUUAGCUAGUUGGUUAGGGUAACGGCCUACCAAGGCAACGAUGGGUAGCUGGUCUGAGAGGAUGAUCAGCCACACUGGGACUGAGACACGGCCCAGACUCCUACGGGAGGCAGCAGUCGGGAAUUUUGCACAAUGGAGGCAACUCUGAUGCAGCUAUGCCGCGUGAGUGAAGAAGGCCCUUGGGUUGUAAAGCUCUUUCGGCUGGGAAGAAGGGUCCCCUUUCGAACAGGCAGGGGAUUUGACGGUACCAGAAGAAGAAGCACCUGCUAACUUCGUGCCAGCAGCAGCGGUAAUACGAAGGGUGCAAGCGUUGUUCGGGAUUAUUGGGCGUAAAGGGCGCGUAAGCGGAAACGUAUGUCGAUUGUGAAAGCCCUGGGCUUAACCUGGGAAUUGCAGUCGAAACUGUGUUUCUUGAAUGCCUGAGAGGAUGGCGGAAUUCCCGGUGUAGUAGUGAAAUACGUAGAUAUCGGGAAGAACACCUGAGGCGAAGGCGGCUAUCUGGCAGUGCAUUGACGCUGAGGCGCGAAAGCGUGGGGAGCAAACAGGAUUAGAUACC
rnacentral:rRNA from 1 species